rnacentral:rRNA from 1 species
ACGGGUGAGUAAUACAUCGGAACGUGCCUAGUAGUGGGGGAUAACUACUCGAAAGAGUAGCUAAUACCGCAUGAGAUCUACGGAUGAAAGCAGGGGACCUUCGGGCCUUGUGCUACUAGAGCGGCUGAUGGCAGAUUAGGUAGUUGGUGGGGUAAAGGCUUACCAAGCCUGCGAUCUGUAGCUGGUCUGAGAGGACGACCAGCCACACUGGGACUGAGACACGGCCCAGACUCCUACGGGAGGCAGCAGUGGGGAAUUUUGGACAAUGGGCGAAAGCCUGAUCCAGCAAUGCCGCGUGCAGGAUGAAGGCCCUCGGGUUGUAAACUGCUUUUGUACGGAACGAAAAGCCUGGGGCUAAUAUCCCCGGGUCAUGACGGUACCGUAAGAAUAAGCACCGGCUAACUACGUGCCAGCAGCCGCGGUAAUACGUAGGGUGCAAGCGUUAAUCGGAAUUACUGGGCGUAAAGCGUGCGCAGGCGGUUUUGUAAGACAGUGGGGAAAUCCCCGGGCUCAACCUGGGAACUGCCAUUGUGACUGCAAGGCUAGAGUGCGGCAGAGGGGGAUGGAAUUCCGCGUGUAGCAGUGA